UGUCUAGUUAGAAUAUAUGAUCCAGGUAACCCAACCUAUCGCCACAUUUCUUUUUGGUUAUUAAAGUAAAGCACACAUGCGAACUUAUUUAGAUACCCAAAGAUAUGGCAGGCAUCUUUGAACUAACGCACAGACUUGUUCUCUUUGUUUGAAAUUGAUUCAAAUGAGUCAUAUGAUCUGUACAAAUGCUCUUCCUGUUCUAGAGUAAGACAUGCUAAAUGUUUAAUAAAUGAGUGUGCGCUUCCCAG
rnacentral:lncRNA from 1 species